rnacentral:rRNA from 1 species
UACGUAGGGGGCAAGCGUUGUCCGGAAUCAUUGGGCGUAAAGCGCGUGUAGGCGGCCAGAUAAGUCCGCUGUGGAAAUCUCGAGGCUCAACUUCGAGCUGUCGGUGGAAACUGUCUGGCUAGAGUCCGGAAGAGGAGAAUGGAAUUCCUGGUGUAGCGGUGAAAUGCGCAGAUAUCAGGAAGAACACCCGUGGCGAAGGCGGUUCUCUGGGACGGUACUGACGCUGAGACGCGAAAGCGUGGGGAGCGAACAGG